CUCACACGAAAUGCAAGAGUACCUCCUGAUAUUGCUCCCUAGUGCUGCUCUCAAUCUCUGAAGUGGAGGCUAUGGAAUGCAUGAAGUCGACCAAAAUAUUUCCGGGGAAAUGUAAUGAAACGUUCCACUGCGAUCAUGAAUGCAGUAACUUUUGGUUUUCAAUUAAGAUUGUAUUGUGAUAAUGAAUGAGAAUACAUUUGUUCUC